rnacentral:rRNA from 1 species
GUAGUGUAUAUCAAAAUUGUUGCGGUUAAAGCGCUCGUAGUUGGAUUACAAAAGCUCUAAAACAAUCAAGUCCUAUCAUAUAUUGGUUUGAUUGUUGUGGGGUUUUUUUCUUGUGAGAGCCAUAUGUGAGAUUAAAUUCUUGUGUAUGGUCACUUGCAAAAUGUGCCUUGAAUAAAGCACAGUGCUCAAAGCAGGCGUAACGCUUGAAUGUAAUAGCAUGGAACGAUUAUUGUUGACCUAAUCAACUGUUGGUUGUUGAAUACCAAUAUGGUCUAGAUUAAAAGGAACAUUUGAGGGCGUUAGUACUUGGUGGCGAGGGGUGAAAUUCUUAGACCCAUCAAAGACUAACUAAUGCGAAAGCAUUCGCCAAGAAUGUUUUCAUUAAUCAAGAACGAAAGUUAGAGGUUCGAAGACGAUCAGAUACCGUCCUAGUUCUAUACAGUAAACUAUGCCAACAUGGGAUCAGUCCGGAACUAUCCAGGUUGGGCCCUCAGAGAAAUCAAGUUUUUAGGUCCUUGGGGGAGUGCGCACGCAAGUGAGAAACUUAAAGAAAUUGACGGAAUGGCACCACCAGGAGUGGAGCCUGCGGCUUAAUUUGACUCAACACGGGGAAACUCACCAGGUCCAGACAUUGAUAGGAUUGACAGACUGAGAGAUCUUUCAUGAUACGAUGAUUGGUGGUGCAUGGCCGUUCUUAGUUGGUGGAGUGAUCUGUCAGGUUAAUUCCGGUAACGAGCGAGACCACGGUCUUUAAUUGAUUACUAAUAUAUUUAUGUCAUAUUAAAUCUUAAAGAGACAACCGGAUUCAAGCCGGGGGAAGCGUGGCAAUAACAGGUCUGUGAUGCCCUUCGAUGUUCUGGGCUGCACGUGCGCUACAAUGAUAGUGACAACAAGUUCCUGCUCUGAGAUGAGUGGGGAAUCUUUAAAAUCGCUAUCUUGCUUUGGAUUGAGCCUUGUAAUAAUUGCUCAUGAAAGAGGAAUUCCUCGUAAGCGCGAGUCAUCAACUCGUGUUGAAUACGUCUCUGCCCUUUGUACACACCGCCCGUCGCUACUACCGACUGGAUGAUUCUUCGAAGAGUUAGGACCGGUUGAUCUGCAAAGAAUGACUGGGAUAAGCCCUAAGAUGAAUGAUCUGCAGGAAGUAAAAGUCGUAACAAGGUUUCCGUAG